CGGGCCCGAAAGGUCACUUGGAGGUUGUGGCCUUGAGCCGUGGCUUUCGGAGCUAACGCGUUAAGUAGACCGCCUGGGGAGUACGGUCGCAAGAUUAAAACUCAAAUGAAUUGACGGGGGCCCGCACAAGCGGUGGAGCAUGUGGUUUAAUUCGAUGCAACGCGAAGAACCUUACCUACUCUUGACAUCCAGAGAACUUUCCAGAGAUGGAUUGGUGCCUUCGGGAACUCUGAGACAGGUGCUGCAUGGCUGUCGUCAGCUCGUGUUGUGAAAUGUUGGGUUAAGUCCCGCAACGAGCGCAACCCUUAUCCUUGUUUGCCAGCGAGUAAUGUCGGGAACUCCAGGGAGACUGCCGGUGAUAAACCGGAGGAAGGUGGGGACGACGUCAAGUCAUCAUGGCCCUUACGAGUAGGGCUACACACGUGCUACAAUGGCGCAUACAGAGGGCGGCCAACUUGCGAAAGUGAGCGAAUCCCAAAAAGUGCGUCGUAGUCCGGAUUGGAGUCUGCAACUCGACUCCAUGAAGUCGGAAUCGCUAGUAAUCGUGGAUCAGAAUGCCACGGUGAAUACGUUCCCGGGCCUUGUACACACCGCCCGUCACACCAUGGGAGUGGGCUGCAAAAGAAGUAGGUAGUUUAACCUUCGGGGGGACGCUUACCACUUUGUGGUUCAUGACUGGGGUGAAGUCGUAACAGGUAAACCCGUAAAA
rnacentral:rRNA from 1 species